GGGAAACGCGGGGCCACGGGCGGCGGUAGUGCAGGGUGCCCGGGCGUUGUUCGGAUUCACGUGGCGUAAAGGGUGGGUAGGCGGUCGGGUAAGUCUGAUGUGAAAUCUAACAGCUUAACUGUGAAACUGCAUUGGAUACUAUUCGGCUUGAGGUCUGGAGGGGGGACUGGAAUUCUCGGUGUAGCAGUGAAAUGCGUAGAUAUCGAGAGGAACACCAGUGGCGAAGGCGAGUCCCUGGACAGGUCCUGACGCUGAGGCACGAAAGCUAGGGGAGCAAACAGGAUUAGAUACCCGUGUAGC
rnacentral:rRNA from 1 species